rnacentral:rRNA from 1 species
AAUAUUGCACAAUGGGGGAAACCCUUAUGCAGCGACGCCGCGUGAGUGAAGAAGUAUUUCGGUAUGGAAAGCUCUAUCAGCAGGGACGAACAUGAAGGUACCUGACUAAGAAGCCCCGGCUAACUACGUGCCAGAAGCCGCGGUAAGACGUAGGGGGCAAGCGUUAUCCGGAUUUACUGGGUGUAAAGGGAGCGUAGGUGGUUCGGUAAGUCAGGUGUGAAAGCCCGGGGCUCAACCCCGGGAUUGCACUUGAAACUAUCGAACUUGAGUGCAGGAGAGGUAAGUGGAAUUACUAGUGUAGCGGUGAAAUGCGUAGAUAUUAGGAGGAACACCAGUGGCGAAGGCGGCUUACUGGACUGUAACUGACAAUGAGGCUCGAAAGCGUGGGGAGCAAACA